UUACGGCCAUAUCACGUUGAAACAUCGGUUCCCGUACGAUCACUGAAGUUAAGCAACGACAUCUGGUCAGUACCUAAAUGGGUGACUGCUUGGGAAUACCAGGUACUGUAAG